AGGAGGAUAGCUCAGUGUUAAGAGCAUAGGACUUGCAUGCCUGAGGCCCCAGGUUCAAUCUCUGGCACUACUA
rnacentral:tRNA from 1 species